UUGACAGAUGCAAACGAUAACAAUUAUCAUUACAUCACCAAAUGACAACGGUCGUAUCAUUUGGUCUCUCUCAUCAGGAGCUAAAAGCUCUUCUUGCGCCCCGCCCUUUGGCGGGGCUUUUUUUA
rnacentral:sRNA from 1 species